CCACCUCUUCCCAUCCCGAACAGAGAAGUUAAGCCCUGCAGCGCCGAUGGUACUGGGGUUACACCCGGGAGAGUAGGUCGCCGCCUCAU
rnacentral:rRNA from 2 species